rnacentral:rRNA from 1 species
AGAGUUUGAUCCUGGCUCAGGAUGAACGCUAGCUACAGGCUUAACACAUGCAAGUCGAGGGGCAGCAUGUUGGUUGCUUGCAACCAAUGAUGGCGACCGGCGCACGGGUGAGUAACGCGUAUCCAACCUACCCUUGUCCAUCGGAUAACCCGUCGAAAGGCGGCCUACCACGAUAUGCGGUUCACAGCAGGCAUCUAAGGUGAACGAAAUGUGAAGGAGAAGGAUGGGGAUGCGUCUGAUUAGCUUGUUGGCGGGUAACGCCACAAGGCGACGAUCAGUAGGGGUUCUGGAGAGGAAGGUCCCCCAGAUUGGAACUGAGACACGGUCCAAACUCCUACGGGAGCA